AAUCGGUACUGUUAGGUGAGGCUCCUAUAUAAACAUAGGCUACUGCCCAAAAAUAUCGAAAGAUGCCAAUGGGUAGAACAGGGAUUGUCGAAUUAAGGCUUUCCAUAAGGUAGCUAAAAACGAUGUGUUCGUUUUUUACGUUAUAUAGUGCUAAAGCUCAACGAAGGUAACUCUU
rfam:Carnobacterium maltaromaticum LMA28 complete genome